rnacentral:lncRNA from 1 species
AAGGAUAAUAUGAUAAUAUGAACUAAGAUAAUAUGAACUUUAGGAAAGAAUUUCCUACUCCUUCAUGCUUUCUGAGCUGAUUCAUUGUCUCCGCCUUAAAAGCUGACAGGUUAAGAAGGAACCAUACUGGGGGGUGUGGGGGAGAAGAAGAAAAAAAGAGUAGAGAUUAUAUUUUUAUGCAACACUGUCAUAUCAGAAAAAAGGUUCAGGUUGCCAACCUUAAAUCCUGAUAUAUCUGGGGAUGCGUGAGGCUUAAUACUUCAGGAAAUGUUCUCAGACCCAUGACUGAGCCAUGAUACCUUGUACCUCCCCCAGAGAGGAGAUGGGGUGACUAAGAAAUGUCAAGCAGUUUCAGAGUCAUAGCCUGUCUCAUCUAUAAAUUUCAAAUUGGGUGUUCUUUUUGAAUUCUUAAUGCUCUCCAAAAUCUGCUGGAAUUUUUAAGUGUACAUUUAAAUUUUUAAACAUUUUGUAAAACUUCCCAUGGCAUCUGGAAAAUAAAGAAACAGUGUGUGUUUAAGAUAUUAAGCUAGCAAUAUUUCUUCAGAAAAAAAUCAGCAAAUUUUAUAUGAGGAAGGAAAUAAGUCUUCUGGGAUAGCACUCAGCAAAUUCAGAUACAUAGCUGAUGUUUAAUGCCUAAGUUCCAUUUCUGACAUCCCAGUAGGACCUGCUAAAAAUGGAUACAACAAGGAGAAAAAUUAAGAUAAGCAGAGUAAGAAUCUUAGAAAUUUUUUCUCAUAAUCUUCAGGAUGUACCACAAACAUGGACAUGCAUUCAGCAGGUAGUCAAACACAGAAGCAUGGACCAUGUAAGUAUGAUGG